GACGAACGCUGGCGGCGUGGAUUAGGCAUGCAAGUCGAACGGUACCAUCCUUUCGGGGGUGAGAGAGUGGCGAACUGGUGAGUAACACGUAGGUUAUCUACCCUCAAGACGGGGACAACCCAGGGAAACUUGGGCUAAUACCGGAUGUGAGCAACUUUUAGUUGUUUGAAAGGUGGCGUAAGCUGUCGCUUGGGGGAUGAGCCUGCGUCCUAUUAGUUAGUUGGUGAGGUAACGGCUCACCUAGGCAAUGAUAGGUAGGCGGCCUUAACGGGUGGUCGCCCACACUGGGAUUGAGAUACGGCCCAGACUCCUACGGGAGGCAGCAGUCGAGAAUAGUCUACAAUGGUCGGAAGACUGAUAGUGCGACGCCGCGUGAACGAUGAAUCCCUUCGGGGUGUAAAGUUCUUUUAUAUGUGAGCAGUGCUUCUUAUAUUAACAGUAUGGGGAGAGAGAUAUUAGCAUAUGAAUAAGCAAACGGCUAAACUCCGUGCCAGCAGCCGCGGUAAAAAUCAACG
rnacentral:rRNA from 1 species